AUAGUACUCCCUCCGUCCCAUAUUAAGUGUCGCAAAUUUGUUCAAAUAUGGAUGUAUCUGCACCUAAAAAGCAUCUAGAUACAUGUAAUAUUUCGACACUUAAUAUGGGACGGACGGAGUAUAAG
rfam:Brachypodium distachyon strain Bd21 chromosome 2, whole genome shotgun sequence.